AGUCCCUCCUUUGACUCUGUUUGCAAACUCUUGUUUCAUUGUUUAAGCGAUUAAAUCUCUCGAGUAGACGCUGUCUCUUUAGAUGCGAGGGCAAAAUAGCACUUUAUGGACUUCCACAGAGGACAUCAUGUUUAAUACGGUUCCGGAAAAAUCCAGUCAGAAGUUGUUCACGGAGUUUUCACAAUAACUGCUUCUCAUGAACCGAAGCUGGAUUUGCGCGACGUCUCCUCUUGAAAGUUGGAUUACUGUGCACUUCUGGAUCACAGGCUAUUCGCAGCUGUACACAUCCUUCUACACUGUAUGCAAACAUGCAACAUCAUUACACACAGUACAAGGAGUCAGACUGGCAUAUGAGGAGCAAAGGAACCCAGGCAGUAGCAUCGUUUUACAAUGUUUCCAUCAUCAUCAUCAGUGGAUGCCUUUGCUGUCCGUAGCCUGAGAUUUCAGAUUUGCAGCAAAAAAAAAUUGAUUUUCUCAUUUAUUGGAAUGCUGUGCAGGUAUUUGUACCUUGCAGCCAUCCAUUACAAUGUCACCAAGCCGUAACAAAAGCAGGAGAGGAAAAGUACAAGGCUAUGUUCCCAAAACACACAAGUGACAUACCUUAUGUGGAGGAUGUGAUCAGGCUUGUGUUUGAUGAGGUAUUUGAAGAUAAGCUGAAGGAAACCCCGAUUCCAAUGGACCUGGCAUCACAGUUUGAGAGACCUUCAAAGGAGGACGUGAUUGCAUGACAUCUUCAGUGCAGGGGUCGUCGAAAGCCAAAAUUGUGACCGAUCUGAUCAGGAAGCUCCAAGCGUAUCUGGAGAACAACACACGACAGGAUGAUAACCUUAUAGUGUCGUCUUAAAUAGCACCAGCUGACAAAGCUUUGCUGUGCCAUUUAUCUGAAUA